rnacentral:rRNA from 1 species
ACUGCCUGAUGGAGGGGGAUAACUACUGGAAACGGUAGCUAAUACCGCAUAACGUCGCAAGACCAAAGAGGGGGACCUUCGGGCCUCUUGCCAUCGGAUGUGCCCAGAUGGGAUUAGCUAGUAGGUGGGGUAAAGGCUCACCUAGGCGACGAUCCCUAGCUGGUCUGAGAGGAUGACCAGCCACACUGGAACUGAGACACGGUCCAGACUCCUACGGGAGGCAGCAGUGGGGAAUAUUGCACAAUGGGCGCAAGCCUGAUGCAGCCAUGCCGCGUGUAUGAAGAAGGCCUUCGGGUUGUAAAGUACUUUCAGCGGGGAGGAAGGGAGUAAAGUUAAUACCUUUGCUCAUUGACGUUACCCGCAGAAGAAGCACCGGCUAACUCCGUGCCAGCAGCCGCGGUAAUACGGAGGGUGCAAGCGUUAAUCGGAAUUACUGGGCGUAAAGCGCACGCAGGCGGUUUGUUAAGUCAGAUGUGAA